GCGGGGCACAGCGGUGUGUGCCUGUAGUCCCUGCUACUUGGAAGGCCGAGGCUGGAGAAUUGCUGGAGUCCGGGAGUUCUGGGUUGUAGCGCACUAUGCUGGUCGGGUGUCUGCACUAAGUUCAGCAUCAGUAUGGUGACCUCCUGGGAGCAGGGGACCACCAGGUUGCCUAAGGAGGGGUGAACCAGCCCAGGUCGGAAAUGAAGCAGGUCAAAACUCCCAUGCUGAUCAGUAGUGGGAUCACACCUGUGAAGAGCUACUGCACUUCAGCCAGGGCAACAUAGCAAGACCCCAUCUCUU
ensembl:misc_RNA Metazoa_SRP Metazoan signal recognition particle RNA